rnacentral:lncRNA from 1 species
AUGGCGGCCCCAACCCUAUUACAAGUGACACCCUUCUUCAGAGGUCUCUGUACCAGCCUAACCCCAUUGCUGUAAGGUUGGCUGUAGCCACUGAAGGCCCAAAGAUCUCUGUGUAUGACAAACCCCAUGUGAAUCUGAGUAUGAUUGGGCACACAAAAUCAGGGGAAAGACUACAGUGAUCACCAUCUACAGAAAUUCUAGCCAAGGAAGGUAGGGUUAAGCUCAAGAAGUAUGAGGUCAUAGACAGUGUCCCAGAGGAGAGUUUAGGGAAUCACCAUCAAAGCAGCUCAUGUGGAGUACAGCACUGCUGCCUGCCACUAUGCCUACACGGACUGCCCCAGUCAUACUGAUUAAGAACAUAAUCAUGGCACUGCCUCUCUGGAUGGCUGCACUCUGGUGGUGGCAGCUGAUGAUGGUCCCAUGCUCCAGACACAAGAGCAAAGUGGCUAAACAGAUUGGAGCAGACACUACCCAGGAUUCAGAUAUGAUGGCAACUAGCAGAGUUGGAGAUCCAAGAACUACUCAAUUAGUUUGGCUAUGAAGGAGAGGAGACUAGCCAUUAUAGGCUCUCCUCUCUGUGCCCUUGAGCAACAUCAUCUUGAUCUAGGUGUGAAGUCAGUGCAUUAGCUGCUGGAUGCUGUGGACUCUUAUAUCCCAGUGCUCAGCUGGGACCUGAAGAAGGCUCUUCUGCUCCCUGUAGUCAGUUUACUCCAUUCCCUGCUGUGACAGAGUGGUGACAGGUACACUAGAGCAUAGCAUUUUGAAGAAGGUCGAUGAGUGUGAGUUGCUGGGAUAUAGCAAGAAUAUUAGCAUUGUGCUGAGAGGCACUGAGACCUUCCACAGGCCUGAGUCCCUGUCGAGGACUGAGGCUGAGGAUAACCUUCGUGCUCUGGUACAAGGUAGAAGUGGAAUGCUCCAAGGCAUGGUUUGGUCAUGGUGAAGCCAGAAUCUAUCCAACCCCACCAAAGGGUGGAUGUCCAGUUUUACAUCCUAAGCAAGGAGGAGGGUGUCUCAAUUUAUACCUGUUAUAUUCUUCCUGACUUGGGACAUAGCCUAUCACGUUAUCUUGCCUCUAGUUAAGGAACCUGCCAUGCCUGGAGGACCUGAAGCUUAGUCUAAGCUUGUGGUAGCCCAUGUUCUUAGAGAAAGGCCAGCACUUCACCUUGCAGGAUGACUACACAGCCACUAGCACAGUGCUCAUCAUCGAAACCCCUGCCACACCAAAGAGAACAAGAACCUCAAAUGGAGAGGGACUGAACUUCUGCUCAGGCUUUUGAUCUUAUGGCUCCCAGGUCCUAAUAUCCUCCUGUGGACACAUUUGCAGCCAAGCAGUGUACAACAAUGGACACGUCUGCUCAUAAGAUGUGUCCUGCCAAAUGAGGCAGGCAAAUAAACCAUGAAUUAAAAAAAAAAAAA